rnacentral:pre_miRNA from 1 species
AUCACUGGGGAUCUUGUUAAAAUGCAAUUCUGAUUGAGGAGAUCUGGGAUGAGGGCUGAGGUUUUGCAUUUCUAACAAGCUCCCAUGUGAUGCUGU